rnacentral:rRNA from 1 species
UACGUAGGGUGCAAGCGUUAAUCGGAAUUACUGGGCGUAAAGCGUGCGCAGGCGGUUUUGUAAGACAGGCGUGAAAUCCCCGGGCUCAACCUGGGAAUUGCGCUUGUGACUGCAAAGCUGGAGUGCGGCAGAGGGGGAUGGAAUUCCGCGUGUAGCAGUGAAAUGCGUAGAUAUGCGGAGGAACACCGAUGGCGAAGGCAAUCCCCUGGGCCUACACUGACGCUCAUGCACGAAAGCGUGGGGAGCAAACAGG